UAUUAUGCUGUUAUUCAUGA
rnacentral:miRNA from 1 species